rnacentral:lncRNA from 1 species
AACAAAUUUGAAAUUCUAAAACUCAAUUGCUUAAUUUUUGACUUUAUAACGUAUAACAAUCUUCUUUCAAUUGGUGAAAAAAUGACAAUGUAAGACUGGAUUUUCUCUGAGCGUGUUCAAGUGAAAAGUAACUUUAGAAUUUACUAGAUAUAAUACAUACAUACAUACACACACACACACAUGAUGCGGUUUCGGUUUUAUGCGUGCGGUUUUGGCUAGUAACCAAACCGAAAUCGUAAAUUUGGUUAUUCAACCCACCUAAAACCGCCACAUACGCUGGAACCGUUGGUAUGGUUUUAAUUGGUGCGGUUCGUGCGGUUUUUGGUGCUGUUUCGGUUCCAAUUUGGUUACUUGCUCAGCCCUACUUAAACCUAUUUGGGUAGACUUUUAACUCUUAAGAUGGAGUUUAAAGC